UCCGAGUUGUAAUUUGUAGAGAGUGCUUCGGGCGAGACAACGGUCUAAGUUCAUUGGAACAUGGCGUCAUAGAGGGUGAGAAUCCCGUAUGCGACCGUGGCUCGAGCCCAUGUGAAGCCUCUUCGACGAGUCGAGUUGUUUGGGAAUGCAGCUCAAAAUGGGUGGUAAAUUUCAUCUAAAGCUAAAUACUGGCUGGAGACCGAUAGCGCACAAGUAGAGUGAUCGAAAGAUGAAAAGCACUUUGGAAAGAGAGUCAAACAGUACGUGAAAUUGUUGAAAGGGAAGCGCUUGCAACCAGACCUGCCCGCAGGCGAUCAACCGCUGUUCUCAGCGGUGCACUCGCGCUGCGAUCAGGCCAGCAUCGGUUUCGGUGGCCGGAUAAAGGCCUUGGGAAUGUAGCUUCCUUUCGGGGGAGUCUUAUAGCCCUCGGUGCAAUGCGGCCAACCGGGACCGAGGACCGCGCUUCGGCUAGGAUGCUGGCGUAAUGGUUGUAAGCGACCCGUCUUGAAACACGGACCAAGGAGUGUAACAUCUAUGCGAGUGUUUGGGUGUCAAACCCAUACGCGGAAUGAAAGUGAACGGAGGUGAGAACCCUUUAGGGCGCAUCAUCGACCGAUCCUGAUGUCUUCGGAUGGAUUUGAGUAUGAGCAUAGCUGUUGCGACCCGAAAGAUGAUGAUCUAUACCUGAAUAGGGUGAAGCCAGAGGAAACUYUGGUGGAGG
rnacentral:rRNA from 1 species